CCUUAGAGUUUGAUCAUGGCUCAGAACGAACGCUGGCGGCAGGCUUAACACAUGCAAGUCGAACGGUCUCUUCGGAGGCAGUGGCAGACGGGUGAGUAACGCGUGGGAACCUACCUUUCGGUACGGAACAACAGUUGGAAACGACUGCUAAUACCGUAUACGCCUUAUGGGGGAAAGAUUUAUCGCCGAAGGAUGGGCCCGCGUUGGAUUAGCUAGUUGGUGGGGUAAUGGCCUACCAAGGCGACGAUCCAUAGCUGGUCUGAGAGGAUGAUCAGCCACACUGGGACUGAGACACGGCCCAGACUCCUACGGGAGGCAGCAGUGGGGAAUAUUGGACAAUGGGCGCAAGCCUGAUCCAGCCAUGCCGCGUGAGUGAUGAAGGCCUUANGGUUGUAAAGCUCUUUCGCCGGUGAAGAUAAUGACGGUACC
rnacentral:rRNA from 1 species